GAGGCAUGCAGGGCUGUCGCUGACUUUUUAAUCACAAAAAGUCGUGCACGCCGGAGCGUGUCCUCUCGCAUAAAAUCCAUCUCACCCUUUUGUGCACCACCGCGUGGGCACCCUUUGGGAUCGAACCGAUCCAGGAGGGCGCUUGCGUUUUCACACAAACCCCCUUAUAAAAGUGUAGAAUGACCCCAUUUUUGCGAUAACACGCAAUCAAUACAACUUUCAACAACGGAUCUCUUGGCUCUCGCAUCGAUGAAGAACGCAGCGAAAUGCGAUACGUAAUGUGAAUUGCAGAAUUCAGUGAAUCAUCGAAUCUUUGAACGCACCUUGCGCCCCUUGGUAUUCCGAGGGGCACACCCGUUUGAGUGUCGUGAAAAUCUCAACCUCCUCGGUUUCUUCUGGACGCCGAAGGAGGCUUGGACUUUGGAGGCCUUUGCUGGCGUCUCUCGCCAGCUCCUCUCAAAUGAAUUAGCGGGGUCCUCUUUGCCGAUCCUCGACGUGUGAUAAGAUGUUUCCAUGUCUUGGUUUCUGGCUCUGUCGCCUUUGGGACCCGCUUCUAACCGUCUCAAGUCGAGACAACGUUUGAGCGUGUCUCCCUUCUCGGGAAACACCCUCGAGCCCACGAACCCUUGACCUCAAAUCGGGUGAGACUACCCGCUGAACUUAAGCAUAUCAAUAAGCGGAGGAAAAGAAACUAACAAGGAUUCCCCUAGUAACUGCGAGUGAAGCGGGAAAAGCUCAAAUUUAAAAUCUGGCGGUCUUUGGCCGUCCGAGUUGUAAUUUAGAGAAGCGUCUCCGCGCCGA
rnacentral:rRNA from 1 species